UACGUAGGGUGCAAGCGUUGUCCGGAAUUAUUGGGCGUAAAGAGCUUGUAGGCGGUUUGUCGCGUCUGCUGUGAAAUUUCGGGGCUCAACCCCGAACUUGCAGUGGGUACGGGCAGACUAGAGUGUGGUAGGGGAGACUGGAAUUCCUGGUGUAGCGGUGAAAUGCGCAGAUAUCAGGAGGAACACCGAUGGCGAAGGCGGCCGACUGGACACAUAUUGACGCUGAGGCUCGAAAGCAUGGGGAGCAAACAGG
rnacentral:rRNA from 1 species